UACGGAGGAUCCAAGCGUUAUCCGGAUUUAUUGGGUUUAAAGGGUGCGUAGGCGGCUUAUUAAGUCAGGGGUGAAAGACGGUGGCUCAACCAUCGCAGUGCCCUUGAUACUGAUGAGCUUGAAUACACUUGAGGUAGGCGGAAUGUGACAAGUAGCGGUGAAAUGCAUAGAUAUGUCACAGAACACCAAUUGCGAAGGCAGCUUACUGGGCCUUGAUUGACGCUGAGGCACGAAAGCGUGGGGAUCAAACAGG
rnacentral:rRNA from 1 species